GGAUGUGAGGAUGAUCUGGCUGUGACAUCUGUCAACCCACUGGUUGCCAAGAUUGAUUCGGAUGAUCUGGCUGGCGAGGUGGGUGUUCCCUUCCUCCCUCACCACUCCACAUGUAUCCCUCCUGAAGCUGCUUUCUUGGUCAAAGAGGAUGACCAUCCCCGAUAGAGGACCAUUUCCUCCAUCAAGGUUAUAUGAGUAGCUGUGCUCCCCUGCUAGAACCUACAAACAAGCUCUCAAAGGUACCAUGGAGAUCCAAGAACUUUGGAGAAUCCAGGAGCAUGAAUUUUCUGAGGAAAACU
ensembl:misc_RNA 7SK 7SK RNA